rnacentral:misc_RNA from 1 species
GAUGAAGAACGUAGCGAAAUGCGAUACUUGGUGUGAAUUGCAGAAUCCCGUGAACCAUCGAGUCUUUGAACGCAAGUUGCGCCCGAAGCCACUAGGCCGAGGGCACGCCUGCCUGGGCGUCACACGCCGUUGCCCCCCCAUCUACUCCUUCGGGAUUGCGGGGGGGCGGAUGAUGGCCUCCCGUGCGCCUAGCCGCGCGGUUGGCAUAAAUACCAAGUCCUCGGCGACGCACGCCACGACAAUCGGUGGUUGCGAAACCUCGGUUGCCCGUCGUGUGCGUUCGUCGCGCAUCGAGGGCUCGAAAAAAUGCUCGGCUCCGGCUGGGCUUUCAACGCGACCCCAGGUCAGGCGGGGUUACCCGCUGAAAUUAAGCAUAUCAAUAAGCGGAGGA